UUCAACUGCUUGGUAGGUCACUUUAAAGCCCUUUUUUCCUUUGGCAGCUUACAGCUGCUUUAUUCUCCAUUUGUACCUUUUGCCUCACAUCUGUUCCUGCCUCCGCUGUCACCAGGGCAAUCUUCUUGCCUCUGCACGUGCCUCUGGUCUCAGGCUGUAGGUUCCAGACCUCCAUGUAGGUUAAGUUUCCAUUUUUCCUGCUGGCAAGACAAGACAUGGAUUUGGGUUCCUGCCAAGAGAGAACUUACACAGACCCUGUCUAGACCAGUCUAUUCAAUUCCUUACAGGGACAGAUGGUCUUCAUGACUCAUUAGAGGUCCAUUCCUAUCCAAAUGAUUCUAACGUUCUCUGCCUACUUCAUUAACUUCCCCAGUAAAGCUUUCCAGCCAUGCUUGCUAUUCUGCUGAUUGCUCUGUGUUCAGCACGACUGAGACAGCUUCUGUUCAGGAGAGAAAUGCAGUGAGGACAACAGCCUGUGCAGCAGUGGACCUGAGGAGAAAUUUGGGACAGAGCCAUGAUCUCACUCCCAUGAAUCAAACUGAUUUAAUCCUGAACAAUAUUCUCCAGCAUGCCAUACAAUGAUGGGCUCUGCCAGCCAGCCAGAGCAUGCCCAGCCUGAUAUGUGAGCAAUUUCAGACCCCGCCAACAUGCUAAUCUGCUGAGGAGAAGCCAAACCCUCUUGCUGUUAGAACUGCUCCUGGCACAAAAUAAGAUG